rnacentral:rRNA from 1 species
GACGAACGCUGGCGGCGUGCUUAACACAUGCAAGUCGAACGAUGAAGAAAAGAAUCGAAGCUUCGGCAGAAAUUCAUUUCGGAUUAGUGGCAGACGGGUGAGUAACGCGUGAGCAACCUACCUCUUACAAAGGGAUAGCCUCGGGAAACCGGGAUUAAUACCAUAUAACAUUGCGACGAAGCAUUUCGAUGCAAUCAAAGCUACGGCGGUAAGAGAUGGGCUCGCGUCCCAUUAACCGGAUGGUGAGGUAACGGCUCACCAUAGUGACGAUGGGUAACCGGACUGAGAGGGUGAACGGUCACACUGGAACUGAGACACGGUCCAGAAUCCUACGGGAGGCAGCAGUGGGGAAUAUUGCACAGUGGAGGGAACUCUGAUGCAGCGACGCCGCGUGAGUGAUGAAGGAAUUCGUGUAGUAAAACUCUGUUAUAUGGGAAGAAAAGGACUGUACCAUAGGAGAAAGCUCCGGCUAAAUACGUG